AUUUCAAUUUCUUUUCCUUUGGUCUCUUCUAAUGAAAAAUUGUUACUACUAUGAAUUGAAAAUUUUACUUUUUUAAAAUUCUACUUUUGUUUUCACUAAAUCUUUAUACUGG
rnacentral:sRNA from 1 species